ACCGAUUUGGUCUUAGUCCUAUACUUAAUCAUUCUUGAGAAGAUACAUGCAAGCUAAAAGCAAAACAGUGAGUAUAAAAUACUAUUUUUCUCCCUAAAAAGAGGGAAAAAUAAAAAAGGUAUCAGAUAUUUGAAAAAAAUCUACAACACCUAGAAAAACCACACCAGCAGUACUUAAUAUUAUACAAUAAGCAAAAACUUGAUAUAGUCCCAAAAAAAAGGGCCGGUUAAUUAUGUGCCAGCCACCGCGGUUAUACAUAAAGCCCUAAUUAAGAAAACCAACGGGAUAUAGGUGGUUAGAACAAAAAUAAUAGGCUAGAAAAUCAACUUUAGCAGUAAUAAGCUUAACAGGAAAGAUAAUAACAAAACAAAACUCUAUAAAAGUUCGAAAACCACCAAAGCUCAAAAAUAAACUGGGAUUAGAUACCCCAUUAUAUGAGUCGUAAAAUAAAACACCCGAGAACUACGAACUAAAGUUUAAAACUCAAAAGACUUGGCGGUUUUUUAGACCUUCCUGGAGGAGCUUGCUAUCUAACCGAUAACCCACGAAAGACCUCACCAGCCUUUGAAAAUAUCAACCUGUAUACCAUCGUCGUCAGUCUACCUCUUAAGAGUAGUAUACUUAAAGGGAAAUUUUCCCCAAACGCCAGAUCGAGGUGCAGUUAAUAGGCUGGGGAUAAGUGAGCUACAAUAUUUUACCAAAAUAAAACAUAAUUAUGGACAACCCAAUGAAAAAAAGUUCCAAACAGGAUUCAGCAGUAAUACCUAUAAGAAAAAAGAUAUGAAUUAUACCAAAGCUCUAAAAAGCG
rnacentral:ncRNA from 1 species